AGUAGAGACGAAUCUCGCUGUUGCUCAGGCUGCUUUCGAACUCCUGACCUUGAGCGAUCCUCCUGCCUCGGCCGGGCCAGCGAUUUGGUCUUGAGCGAAUUACUCUUCCUUUUUCUGCGCCGGAUUUCUCAUCUUGAAAGUGGAGACACCUGCACCCCAGGCAGGAGGUUUUUCUGAAGAUCACCUGAGCAAAUACACUGGACACUUCUCCGCAGCGCCCUGGCACAGCAAGCGUUCACAAGCCCUGAACUCGGUGGACCAGCUGACCCACCGGGACUGGUCUUGUGACUGGCCUCCCCAGAAACUGACUCAGCACAAGGAGACAAUUUCUACCCCCCCACGAUUCCACUCCGACCCAGCCAAUCAGCAGACCCAAUUGCACCUGUGAUAUUAAACCCUUUCUCCCCUGUAA